AUCAACGACCAUACCACGCAUGCCACACCAGUUCUCGUCCGAUCACUGAAGUUAAGAUGCGUUGGGCGCGGAUAGUACUUGGAUGGGUGACCGCCUGGGAACACCGCGUGUUUGUUGGUA